GACGAACGCUGGCGGCGUGCUUAACACAUGCAAGUCGAACGGAAAGGCCCUGCUUUUGUGGGUUGCUCGAGUGGCGAACGGGUGAGUAACACGUGAGUAACCUGCCCUUGACUUUGGGAUAACUUCAGGAAACUGGGGCUAAUACCGGAUAGGAGCUCCUGCUGCAUGGUGGGGGUUGGAAAGUUUCGGCGGUUGGGGCUGGACUCGCGGCUUAUCAGCUUGUUGGUGGGGUAGUGGCUUACCAAGGCUUUGACGGGUAGCCGGCCUGAGAGGGUGACCGGCCACAUUGGGACUGAGAUACGGCCCAGACGCCUACGGGAGGCAGCAGUGGGGAAUAUUGCACAAUGGGCGGAAGCCUGAUGCAGCAACGCCGCGUGCGGGAUGACGGCCUUCGGGUUGUAAACCGCUUUCGCCUGUGACGAAGCGGGAGUGACGGUAAUGGGUAAAGAAGCACCGGCUAACUACGUG
rnacentral:rRNA from 1 species